GCGGCCACCUGCGCGCGCAUGCGGGCACACACACCCCCACCCCGCCCUCCUAGACGAUUCCAGGCUAGCAAUAGGCCCUCCUCCCGUCAUCUUCCUUCAGCGUCGCAGUGCAUGCUGGGCGGUGUAGUUUUUAUGGCAAACGGAGAGGAGAGUGGGUCAUUGUGCGGCUUCUAGCCCUUCCCGAAUGAUGGUGUUCGGGGGAGAGGGAAGGGGGUGGGUGCCUUCCUCUGAGGCUGAGAGAAUGCGACGUGCUCGUGCAGGUUUCCAUGGCUGAGGAGGGGUUUCAACACUCAUUCCCAUCGUCGCACCUCGCAUGCUCUUUUGAAUUAUGUUCAAAGUACAUCAAUUAGGACAGUUUGCCCUAGGGAGAAACUCCUUACCUAUUACUAUCAUCGUCGUUGCUGUGAUUAUGAGCAAGGUCUUUUCCUUUCACCAGCUCCGAGGCCUUUUGAGGGAACGGGCCUGCUCCAGCCGGAGAGCCCUUGCUGGGCGGCCCACCAUCUUAAGGGCUUCCCUUCGCUGCCUAUCCCACGGCCAUUUCACGAAACCGGCGGAUGUCACAGAAUCGCAUAUUAAAUGGGGCGAGGAAUCCUUCAUCACCUCAUGAAGAGCAAAGAGAACAAGACACACCUUUUCCCUGUACUUCCCUUUGUCCUUUUUUUGACGCUGCGACAGACAUUUGCGCGGGGGGGGGGGGGAGAUCACAAAUACUGUGCCUCAGCCAUUUUAUGAGUUUCCCGCAUAUUCUGGAAGCGGUCAAAAACACAACACUGCCAAUAAAGUUGUGGCUCCAGAUCCUGUGACUUUACCCCACACUGAGCCCCACAGGCUGCAUCCGCACUAUUGAAUGGAUGACACCACUUUGAGAGCUACGAGUGCUGCGGAGUUCGAAGAGGCACGAAUGGAGGGCUUAAGGGAGAAACGUGCCAAGAGGAAGACCCGUCAAGCCAACCCUGACCGGGACCACCUUCCACCUGGAAACUGAUGUCCUCUCUGCGGGAGAACAUGCAGAUCAAGAACAGUUUCAGAUGGAGGAUUCGUCAUGAUGAAAAAGACUUGUGGUUUAACAUUCCAAACAUAGCUACGCAAACCCUCCUUCAAAAUAAAGAACAGCACAGUU